UAGGGAAUCUUCCACAAUGGACGCAAGUCUGAUGGAGCAACGGCCGCGCGAGUGAAGAAGGUUUUCGGACCGUAAAGCUCUGUUGUUGGUGAAGAAGGAUAGAGGUAGUAACUGGCCUUUAUUUGACGGUAAUCAACCAGAAAGUCACGGCUAACUACGUGCCAGCAGCCGCGGUAAUACGUAGGUGGCAAGCGUUGUCCGGAUUUAUUGGGCGUAAAGCGAGCGCAGGCGGAAGAAUAAGUCUGAUGUGAAAGCCCUCGGCUUAACCGAGGAAUUGCAUCGGAAACUGUUUUCUUGAGUGCAGAAGAGGAGAGUAGAACUCCAUGUGUAGCGGCGGAAUGCGUAGAUAUAUGGAAGAAUACCAGUGGCGAAGGCGGCUCUCUGGUCUGCAACUGACGCUGAGGCUCGAAAGCGUGGGGAGCAAAACAGGAUUAGAUACCCCUGGUAG
rnacentral:rRNA from 1 species